AUGUUUGAGAACGCCCCAUUUAUUUCAAUGGCAGAAAUAAUGAGGAAGUUUGAAUCUAGUACAAGUCAGAUGUCAAUGCCACACAUGAAUUGUUCCAUGUCACAUGAUGGUAUGGCUUGGAUCAGUGUAGAGGAAGCCUAAGCUUACACUGACAAGGGAACCUGAACUUGAAACAGCUCAACAUUACUGUCCAAUAAAACUUAUGUGCUCAGCUCAGCUCAUAAUCUACUACUCUAACUCUAUUUUUCUUUUACUUUUCGUUCUAAUAUUUAUCAAUUUCUUUCUUGUUGUUCUAUCCCCCCUUUUCUCAUCUUAAUUUUAUUCUUCUCUUUCCCAUCUUCCUUAUUUGUUUCUUUCUUUCCUUCUUUUUCCUUCAUGUUCUCCAUCCUUUCUCACUCACCCACUCUAAUUCCUAUCCCUUCUCGAUUUUUCUUUGUUGACCUUCUCUCUCUCUCUCUCUCUCUCUCUCUCUCUCUCUCAAGAAGUGACUCCCGACGGGGAAGCAAUUUGAUAUGUUUUGCCCAUCUGUAUAGUAUUCUACUGUUGUUUUGGGCGUUAUGAUUCUUAUUACAUUUCGCUAAUUUCUCGGGGAUCUGGUGACAAGCAGUCAGCUGUUCAUGGUUCUGUUUCUGCUGUAAUAUAUCAGUUCUCAAGGAUCCUGUAAGAAGCCGUCCUCACUUCAAGCAGCAUGCACCCCUCAGCCACCAAAAAUAACUUCUUAGAAAACAGCCGAACAAACUGAUGCUAAGAAGCACCAGACAGCUAAAAGAAGUAGCAAGUAUGAUCAGGAACCCCUCUGCAUUGAAGUCAGCAACCCAAUCACAUGUGAUAAGCAUUAAUCCUGCUUGUGCAAGAAGGAAUGCAAAUAUUAGAAUUACAUAUGAAAUUCCAAAUUUUGCUCAAGAAAAUCAAGCUAUAAAGAGGCAAAAACUUGAAGAGGGAAAAAGCUAGACAGAUCCUUAGCAUCAAUCCCCAAACUUUACUCCAUAAAACAAGACCUGGGAAAUCGACCUGCAACUUGAACCAGCAGCCCCAUUUAUUUCAACGGCAGAAAUGAUGAAGUUUGAAUCUAGUACAAGGGAGAUGUCAAUGCCAUGCAUGAAUUGUUCCAUGUCACAUGAUGGUAUGGCUGGGUCAGUGCAGAGGGAGCCUAAGAUUGCACUGACAAGGCCCAAGGAACCUGAAAAAAUAAGAUUGCACCAACGUCUACUGAAAAUCAAUGCCAAGUAGAAUGUUCUCCAUCGAUUCUCACAAUUAUAAUUGGAAUGGAUGUUUUCCAUAGCAUUUUCAGAACCUUAGCAUCAAACCCCAAACUUUGCUCCAUACAACAAGACCUGGGAAAUCUACCAGCACCUGAACACUUCAACUGUCAAAACACGUACAAAAGACAGAAAGAUUUGUGUUCGAGAACCAACAGCCCCAUUUAUUUCGAAUCUAGUACAAGGGAGAUAUCAAUGCCACGCUUGAAUUGUUCCAUGUCACAUAUAAAUACAAAUAACUUGCUUAAAAGUUCUAUUAAUUUUCUAGUACAUUUUCUUUAAAAAUUGAAACUAUUUUUGAGGAUGGUAUGGCUGGAUUCAGUGCAGAGGAAUCCUAAACUUACACUGACAAGGCCCAAGGAACCUGAACUUGAAACAGCUCAACGUUACCGUUCAGUAAAACUUAGGAGCUCAGUUGAGUUGGAAGAAGAAAUGAUGGCAAAAUUUCUCAAGUUUAAAGCUCGCCCUCUAAAUAAGAAGGUAAUUUCUAUUUCCAAGUGAUUCCUGAGAAAGUAUUUGCUAUAUGGUAAUAUGCUUUUUGUCAUCAAGUCACCAUCCACACCCACCCCCCUCCCCGUGGCCAGAAAGAUGGCACGAUAAAAUAUUAGCUCUAUUUUUUUGCUUCAGCUGUCUAUCAAAGAAAAGUUUCUGCUGGGAACCCCCAGCUAAAUUGGUCAGACUUUUGACUUGGUAACCACAAGGUUACAAGUUCUAUUCUUAGCGGGAGCGGCCUAUUGACAUUCUUGGUUUGAGUUGGUUGGUUAGCUUUGGGCAUAUAUUGAUUGCUGCUUGUUUGUGCAUUUCGCCAUCGGGUGGCUCAUAAG